UACGGAGGAUCCAAGCGUUAUCCGGAUUUAUUGGGUUUAAAGGGUGCGUAGGCGGACUAAUUAGUCAGUGGUGAAAGUUUGCAGCUUAACUGUAAAAUUGCCAUUGAAACUGUUAGUCUUGAGUGUAAAUGAGGUAGGCGGAAUGUGUUGUGUAGCGGUGAAAUGCUUAGAUAUAACACAGAACACCAAUUGCGAAGGCAGCUUACUGGGAUACAACUGACGCUGAGGCACGAAAGCGUGGGGAUCAAACAGGAUUAGAUACCCUGGUAGUCCACGCAGUAAACGAUGAAUACUAACUGUAUGCGAUAUACUGUAUGUGGUAAAGCGAAAGCGUUAAGUAUUCCACCUGGGGAGUACGUUCGCAAGAAUG
rnacentral:rRNA from 1 species